CUGGCCCUAAACGGUGCACGUUUGCUGUAAGAGGAAUCGACCCCUUUUGUGGCGAAGCUAACGCGUUAAACGUGCCGCCUGGGAAGUACGGCCGCAAGGUUAAAACUCAAAGAAAUUGACGGGGGCCUGCACAAGCGGUGGAGUAUGUGGCUUAAUUCGAUGCAACGCGAAGAACCUUACCUGGCCUUGACAUGCAUAUAGUAGAACCCUGAAAGGGGGACGAGGUAGCAAUACCAGUAUGCACAGGUGC
rnacentral:rRNA from 2 species